UGGGGAAUAUUGGACAAUGGGCGAAAGCCUGAUCCAGCAAUGCCGCGUGAGUGAUGAAGGCCUUAGGGUUGUAAAGCUCUUUUACCCGGGAUGAUAAUGACAGUACCGGGAGAAUAAGCCCCGGCUAACUUCGUGCUAGCAGCCGCGGUAAUACGAAGGGGGCUAGCGUUGUUCGGAAUUACUGGGCGUAAAGCGCACGUAGGCGGCGAUUCAAGUCAUAGGUGAAAGCCCGGGGCUCAACCCCGGAACUGCCUUUGAAACUAGAUUGCUAGAAUCCUGGAGAGGUUAGUGGAAUUCCGAGUGUAGAGGUGAAAAUUCGUAGAUAUUCGGAAGAACACCAGUGGCGAAGGCGACUAACUGGACAGGUAUUGACGCUGAGGUGCGAAAGCGUGGGGAGCAAAACA
rnacentral:rRNA from 1 species